rnacentral:rRNA from 1 species
CCUACGGGUGGCAGCAGUGAGGAAUAUUGGUCAAUGGACGAGAGUCUGAACCAGCCAAGUAGCGUGAAGGAUGACUGCCCUAUGGGUUGUAAACUUCUUUUAUAAAGGAAUAAAACGAGGCACGUGUGCCUUUUUGCACGUACUUUAUGAAUAAGGAUCGGCGAACUCCGAGCCAGCAGCCGCGGUAAUACGGAGGAUCCGAGCGUUAUCCGGAUUUAUUGGGUGUAAAGGGAGCGUAGAUGGGUUGUUAAGUCAGGUGUGAAAGGUUGCGGCUCAACCGUAAAAUUGCAAUUGAUACUGGCAGUCUUGAGUACAGGUGAGGUAGGCGGAAUUCGUGGUGUAGCGGUGAAAUGCUUAGAUAUCACGAAGAACCCCGAUUGCGAAGGCAGCUUACUAAACUGUGACUGACAUUGAUGCUCGAAAGUGUGGGUAUCAAACAGGAUUAGAGACCCGAGUAGUC